rnacentral:rRNA from 1 species
UGCUGGAGGUAUCAGAAGUGCGAAUGCUGACAUAAGUAACGAUAAACAAGGUGAAAAACCUUGUCGCCGGAAGACCAAGGGUUCCUGUUCAACGUUAAUCGGAGCAGGGUGAGUCGACCCCUAAGGCGAGGCCGAAAGGCGUAGUCGAUGGGAAACAGGUUAAUAUUCCUGUACUUGGUGUUACUGCGAAGGGGGGACGGAGAAGGCUAUAUCAGCCGGGCGACGGUUGUCCCGGUUUAAGCGUGUAGGUGUGUGUUCCAGGCAAAUCCGGUUCACUUUACACUGAGGCGUGACGACGAGGCACUACGGUGCUGAAGUGAUAAAUGCCCUGCUUCCAGGAAAAGCCUCUAAGCAUCAGGUAACACAAAAUCGUACCCCAAACCGACACAGGUGGUCAGGUAGAGAAUACCAAGGCGCUUGAGAGAACUCGGGUGAAGGAACUAGGCAAAAUGGUGCCGUAACUUCGGGAGAAGGCACGCUGGCGCGUAGGUGAAGGGACUUGCUCCCGGAGCUGAAGCCAGUCGAAGAUACCAGCUGGCUGCAACUGUUUAUUAAAAACACAGCACUGUGCAAACACGAAAGUGGACGUAUACGGUGUGACGCCUGCCCGGUGCCGGAAGGUUAAUUGAUGGGGUUAUCCGCAAGGAGAAGCUCUUGAUCGAAGCCCCGGUAAACGGCGGCCGUAACUAUAACGGUCCUAAGGUAGCGAAAUUCCUUGUCGGGUAAGUUCCGACCUGCACGAAUGGCGUAAUGAUGGCCAGGCUGUCUCCACCCGAGACUCAGUGAAAUUGAAAUCGCUGUGAAGAUGCAGUGUACCCGCGGCAAGACGGAAAGACCCCGUGAACCUUUACUACAGCUUGACACUGAACACUGAGCCUUGAUGUGUAGGAUAGGUGGGAGGCUUUGAAGCGUGGACGCCAGUCUGCGUGGAGCCG